AGUGAACGCUGGCGGUAGGCCUAACACAUGCAAGUCGAACGGCAGCACAGUAAGAGCUUGCUCUUACGGGUGGCGAGUGGCGGACGGGUGAGGAAUACAUCGGAAUCUACUUUUUCGUGGGGAUAACGUAGGGAAACUUACGCUAAUACCGCAUACGACCUACGGGUGAAAGCAGGGGAUCUUCUGACCUUGCGCGGUUGAAUGAGCCGAUGUCGGAUUAGCUAGUUGGCGGGGUAAAGGCCCACCACGGCGACGAGCCGUAGCUGGUCUGAGAGGAUGAGCGGCCACACUGGAACUGAGCCACGGUCCAGACUCCUACGGGAGGCAGCAGUGGGGAAUAUUGGACAAUGGGCGCAAGCCUGACCCAGCCAUACCGCGUGGGUGAAGAAGGCCUUCGGGUUGUAAAGCCCUUUUGUUGGGAAAGAAAAGCAGCAGGUUAAUACCCCGCUGUUCUGACGGUACCCAAAGAAUAAGCACCGGCUAACUUCGUG
rnacentral:rRNA from 1 species